GUGGUGGGAAUGGUGAGAGAGAGAGAGAGCCCCGUCUGUACUUCGCUUUACGUUUUUGUAUAUAAAUUAGACCGCAGUUGUAAGUUGAAACAGAUGAUCGAUAGGGGGAACGGACAAUGCAUGGUGGAACAAUUAAUUAAUGAGAACAUCUAUACGUUCAAAAGAAGAAGAAGAAGAAGAGAUCAUUAGUAAAGAUCUAGCUAGCUAGAUUGAGAUCUCGUACUAGCUAAUUGAGCUACCUACUUGGUUAGAGCUGGAAUGAUUGCCUCCAGUUCCUUUUUUAUUUUCUUUUCCGUUCUUUUCUUCUCUGUGCUUUUCCUCUUUCUCUUCCUUUUCCUUUUUUACGUUUUCCGGUGCAUAUCAUGAUUCAGCCACUGCACGCGCGCCCGGCCCCCAUUAUUUGCUUUCUAGCUAGCUUAGUCCCCACAACGCAGCUCUCAUCCACACUCCUCAUUAAUUAACUGGGCUUUCUCCACAUUGCCAUGUUAAUGCAGCAUCACAUUAAUCACAUACACAACUUUGCCGGUUAAUUUCAGCCGCUUGAAGCUAGCUUCUGAGAGAUGGACGCUGAGAAAUUGUAGCGGUCUUUACGGAGGCGGCAAAGGACUUGGUGCAUUUUCUGCUCCGGCCCCUCCCUCCGCCGCCCAAACUGCUACUUGAUCCUUAUUUAAUGGACAUGGCAAUGAGGACGGUGCGCCGGGGGACGGCGGCGGCGAUGGACGACUUGUCGAGGUCGACGGGCUUCGCAUGGAUGGAGUCCGGCACUGCUCUUGAUCUAGGAGAAUAAUGUUGUCGACUUCAAUAAUAUGGCAUAUUUAUAUAUAUAUAUAUUGAAGUGACAAAACUGAUCUAUAUUUUUCUCCUUCUAUGUAUCUCUAAUUAAUAAAGAGUGUUUUGGGAGGGUUGUUAGUGAA